CACGGUCACCACCAAUCAGGGGUUAGACAUGGACAGGAUGGGUGAAAGGAGCGAUGGAUCGGGUGGAGCAGAGGGAGAGAGGUGGUGAGGGGAGAGAGAGGUGGUGAGGGGAGAGAGAGGUGGUGAGGGGAGAGAGAGGUGGUGAGGGGAGAGAGGUGGUGAGGGAGAGAGGUGGUGAGGGAGAGAGGUGGUGAGGGAGAGAGGUGGUGAGGGGAGAGAGAGGUGGUGAGGGGAGAGAGGUGGUGAGGGAGAGAGGUGGUGAGGGAGAGAGGUGGUGAGGGGAGAGAGGUGGUGAGGGGAGAGAGGUGGUGAGGGAGAGAGGUGGUGAGGGGAGAGAGGUUGUGAGGGGAGAGAGAGGUGGUGAGGAGAGAGAGAGGUGGUGAGGGGAGAGAGGUGGUGAGGGGAGAGAGGUGGUGAGGAGAGAGAGGUGGUGAGGGGAGAGAGGUGGUGAGGGAGAGAGGUGGUGAGGGAGAGAGGUGGUGAGGGAGAGAGGUGGUGAGGGGAGAGAGGUGGUGAGGGGAGAGAGGUGGUGAGGAGAGAGAGGUGGUGAGGGAGAGAGAGGUGGUGAGGGGAGAGAGAGGGUGAGGGGAGAGAGGUGGUGAGGGGAGAGAGGUUGUGAGGGGAGAGAGGUGGUGAGGGAGAGAGGUUGUGAGGGGAGAGAGGUGGUGAGGGGAGAGAGGUGGUGAGGGGAGAGAGGUGGUGAGGGGAGAGAGGUGGUGAGGGAGAGAGGUGGUGAGGGAGAGAGGUGGUGAGGGGAGAGAGGUGGUGAGGUAGAUCAGACAGGUUAGUGAUGUCAUCAAUCAGAGCUCACUGAACCCAUCAGUGAGAUAUAGUUGGUGUGUGUGUUACCUGUGUCUCCAGACAGGCUCAUGGCGCUGCGGCUGCGUGCCAGGUAGGAGUGUGUGGGUGUGUUACCUGUGUCUCCAGACAGGCUCAUGGCGCUGCGGCUGCGUGCCAGGUAGGAGUGUGUAGGUGUGUUACCUGUGUCUCCAGACAGGCUCAUGGCGCUGCGGCUGCGUGCCAGGUAGGAG